AGAAAAAAGUAAGAGAAAAUUAUGUUUUUUGGAUCUGAGUUUUAAAACGUGACAAAAAUAAAAUGAAAAGUAAUUUAGUUAACAUGUGUUUUUAGUUGGAGGGUAUAAGAGACAUUUUUAUGAGAUAAAGUACUCCACAUGGUAGAAGUAUGUCUGAGUGUAAAGGAAAGUGUAAAAGUAUGUCUGAAUGUAAUUAUUUCAUAACUCCUUCAGCAACAUGUUACGUCUACGGCUAUGUAUUUAUUGUACCCAUGCACCUAGUGAACACUGCUUUACACACAUCUUAAAUGUACGAUAUAGCUUACACAACAAUAUUAUACUAAACGUUAUGCUUCGUUACAAGAAAUCAUUAUAAACCACUAGAGUUUUUAACCGCGCUACGCGCGGUUUACAGCUUUAAAUAUUUUUAUUUUAAUGUUUAACUACAAUGCGACUACUUUUGUUUGGAUAUGUUUCUUUAAAAAAAAGUUAAUAAUAUUAUAUUAUUGGUCAUUUUCAAUUUAAUUUUGUUUCAUUUUUUUGUUUGGGUGAUUUUUGUAUAUCAGUAAUACUUUAACUAUGAUUGUCUCCCUAAACUUAAAAGAAAUAUUGGUUUAGGGCAUCAACAUUAUUUCAAAAAACACAAUAAUUAUAUUAGUAAAAACAUAUGUAUAUGUAUAUUAUAUAUAUAAAUAUAUUAGUUAAGAAAAUAUGUAUAUAUAACACUUAAUAAAAACAUAUGUAUGUAUAUAUUAGUUAAGAUUAGUAAUAUUAAUUAAACAUAUUGAUGGUAGUACUUAUUUGUAGGCAUAACAGACAUAAAAUAAUAUUGAAGUUAUAUAUAUGUGGACUUGAGUUUAAAACCUUAUAAUAAUAUCAGUAGGCUAAAUAUGAGCCACAUUCUUUAAUCCAUUAUUAGUUCACUAUAUUAAAGUUAAAUUUCUUUGCAAAGCUAAUUCAUGUAAUUUUACAAAAAAUUAGGGUAACAAAAACAACCUCAUGACUUACCAUCUUCAUCUUCAGCUCACGUCUUCUUUUCACACACAAACCUGCAGUUUUGAUUUUUGAAGCUUAAGAUUUCAUACUGACAAAGUAGCUUUAUCUCACUUUCUCUUACAAUUCUAAGUAAGAUGGAACGAUGUCAUCGAACAUAAGACAUCAAGGGGAGCAUAUUUAGUGUUUUUCAGGUGACUGAUUUUAUAGGACAUUUAAAAAAAAAAAGGUAUCUUUUUUUUUGUCUACGUAUGAUUUUUGUGCUCGCACGCCUCUGAGUCUAUGUAACAAAAAGUAUAUAUUGCAUGACUAACAUUAGAACUUUGACUGUGUUUGUUCUCGUUGCAUGUCUGUGCUGUUGAGCUGGUAUUUUCAUAUAUUGCUAAAGUUUGAGAUAGUUAAAAGUGGAGAUGUGUUUAUGUUGGAAACCAAAAUAAGCUAAUAGUUUGUCAUUGAUCCCUCUUUCUUUUUAAUGUUACAUAAGGCAGAAAAGUAGUAAAACAAUAUCCAAAAGGUUUUGAGUAUUAACAAAGUUCAAUAAUAUAUGGAAAAAUUGAGUAGAAUACAAAAUUCUUAAUAUCAUUUUUCAUAUUUAUUUUAACCACAUUUACUUUUAAUUUAGGAGAGAAAAUCAGUAUAUAAAGCAGGAGGGUAAGGGUAAACGGAAUCGAAAUCAUAAAGAAAGAAUUGAUGGAUGGAGAGGUAGUGGAGUAUUGAUUGUGGAGUUCUGGAUCGGGAAAACAGAAACGAUGGUGAAGAAAGGUGGAAGACGAAGAGCAAGAAGCGUCGCGCCUCGUAUUAUCCGUCGUGCCUUGUUUUUUUUUUAUUAUUCGAACUGGGUAACACAGCCCAACACGAUCCGGAGAAGUCCAUUAAACACAGCAGAGCCCGUAGAAAAAAAGAGAUCUGCUACCCAGUUCUUUUGCCAGCGUGGAUUAAUGAAAUGUUCUUAUUGGCCAAAUAUAAUUGAUGAUGUGGACAUGCUAGAAUCCCUUUA